CUCCAACUCCAACUCCAACUCCAACUCCAACUCGCCAGGAGGAGGAGACUUCGUGCUGUGUGAAGAUCUCCAAGCGCUGCGGACCCUUGUGGACCCAACGCGCCUCUCUCAAGCUUAAUAACUGAACCCACGGAGCUUUCACUUCUAGCCUCUCCCCGUCGCCGAUCGCAAUCCAAGACGUAUCCUUUUCCUGUAAACCCAAUUUUCGAACCCACGGAGCCUAAACAACUCCAGGAGACCAGGGAACCGAACCGAACCUGCGGAGCCUAAACAACUCCGUGGGAGCAACCGAAUUUGUCGUAGUCCUCUAGUGAGGAUUUAAGCGGAGCUGCGCCUGGAAACCUGUCCAGCCUACACCACUACCAUCUUUGGGUUCCUCAAGGCAUCUCCCCUUGUGCUGGGCACGCAGCUCCUUUUAUAUGCUCCAGGGCUCUGCCCCCCGAAGUCUUCCAGAUCUGACAGUUUGCAGUCUUCAAUCAGGUCUGGGAGAGCUCUUCUCCCCUUCCCCUCAGGAUAGGGGCAUGAUGGUAUUUCUCUUGCUGCCUCCUGAUUGGUGGAUGGGCUCCACCAAUCAAAACAGCAGGAUCUCAAGCCUGGACUUCAACCCAAGCUCUGAAAGGUAAGCCUGCUACAUUUAUAAGACUGCAGAGGUCUGUGAACUGAGAGAAGAGCCUUGAUGCUGUGGGCCUGUAACCAGGCCUAACAACUGCAUGCAAAAUGCUGCAGUGAGGGACCUGAGUGUGCAAUGGGCUUGAGAUAACCUCCAUUAACACUGAGCCUCACUUUUUUUUUGCUCCUAUUUACCUUCAACUUAAAAGGAAUGUAUUCAAAGGACAAGCUGGGGAAUGAAAUGUUACCAACAACUGUGGUACCUGGCUGAGCACCGUCCAUCCACAUGUAACUGUUUCUUCCAGAUCUUGCUUUGCAUCCAGUAAAAUAGACAUCUUAUUUGCAUCUAUGCACUUAUAUCCGUAAGGUAACUUGUACUUCCCCACAGUGGAUGAAAUCAGACAAGAAAUUAAGAAAUGUUGCUCUGGCCCAGCUCUUCACUGCUCAAAGCACCGGCUGUUUUCUGGCUUUCGUAAGCACUAUAAAGUAUAUACCUGGCUUUA